UUGAACGAGUGUGAUAGUAACAGCAGAAAGAUGAUGAUAGAUCUCUUAUGUUGGUCUUCACCUGAGGCAGCAAGCUUAUGAUGACGGUGGCUUCGAUCACUAGAAAGAGAGAGAGAGAGGAGGUCGGCUAUAUUGAAGUGGAGAGGGUUCAAACUUGAGGAUAUUGGAGAAAAUGGAGUUUGUAGAGAAGAAGGCAAAAUGAUAUUUAUUUUCUUAUUAUUAUAGUUUGUAAAGUUUCGUCUUCCUUAAAAUAUUAGAAGACGACUUUGUUUUUUUCCUGUGUAAACCCAAGAAAAAUAUUCUGAUAAAGCGGUCAAGAACAUGUCUUUUUCCAUCUCUUUCUCCCUCUAGAAAAAUUGCUGCUAACAAACUUGUAUAAAUAGUUUUUGUUUGAUUUCUAAAUUAUUAUUUUAUUCUCAUAUUGUUCAACUAUAUUCUUCAGAUAUUAGAUCUGUAUUUCUUUCAAGAAUACUUAAAAUAGUUUUCAAUUCCAUCAUAUAUCAUAUUAUUUGAAAAAUAAUACAACUAAUAAUUAAUGAUCAGUUAACGGGUUUGGAAUUGAUAAACCACUGAAAUCUGAAAACUGAUUAAAUUCUUUUUUGUUUGAUAUUAUACACCAACUGUUCCAUUGAAGUUUGUUUGAUGGAUAUAUAUGGUCUAAGUUUGGUUUUACUAUAAAAUUACUGGUUUGAUAAAGAGAUCUAACCAACCAAAGAACAAUGUUUUAAAAGUGAAUCCUUUUCGAUCAUUAGAUAUAUAAAUGUUUAUAUAAUUUUUUUAAAUAAUAUUUCAUGAUGCAUAAAACAUAAUGUUUAUAAACAUUAAACUUUUUUUUUUUGGAACACUAUAAACAUUAAACUUAAAAAAAAUAAAAAAUGAGUGGAUCAGUAAACCAACAAAUCCGUUAAAAUCCACAAAUAAAUUAAAUCAGCCACGAACCGGAGUAAAUUGGUGCGGUUAGCUCGCAAACCGGAUUCAGUAUAUUCGAUGACAUCACCUUCUCUCGUCGACGAUGUUCGAAAUCUUCCCCAUCGACAUGACAUCACCUUCUCUCGUCUAGUCGGAAAUGCAGAAUCUCAAUUACGAGCACACGGAAUAAUGGUUUGGUGGAUUGGAGGAAGAAGGUGGCAUCGAUUCUCAUCUUUGCUUAAAGACAUUGAAGUGAUUAGUUACUUGGAGACCAAAAAGAUCUGAGAUUUCUUGGGAUGUCAGUGUUGAAGCACCUGUGGUAGAAGAAAUAACUGCUUCAGCUUUGCUAGAAUCAGGCCAGGAGAAUCAGACACAGUUGAGAGAUUUCACAACUCUAGUCUUAGGGAGUGGAGAAGAGAGGAAACAGAAUAUAGGAACAAGAUCCUUGAUGAUUUGUAUGGGGUUAAGGCAUUUUUGAACCAGCGUUUGAUAGAACUGAGACACGAAGAUACUCUGUCCUUGCAACGCCAUGUGCAACCAGUUUCCCCUUAGUUCUUCAGCAGUAUUCUCCUGAAUCAUCGAGCCAGUGGUGGUUGAUAUCUACAUGGCCAUCUCAUUGCUAACAAACAGGAUAUCUCGGGAUCUGAAUUCUCAACUCCAAAAGGUAUUUCAAGUUAAAUCAUCUCUGGCAUUGUAUCGCAGUCUGUUCCAUAUAGAUAGGCUUGUUUCGGAACUGGAGGAGAAGAAGCACCGUUGAAGCGAAGUUAAGAGAGAGCGUGAAAGAUCAGAUCAAUUCACUCUCUUCAAUAUGGCCAAAACCGUACAGAAAAUGUGUAUGCAAAGGAAAAUGGUCAGUUGGAGAGGUGGGUGAGGGUAGGCGAGGAGGGGAAACGUGUGCGUGUUGAGUAGAAAGAUUUACUAAAAGGGUCCACCUCUGUCUUGUCUGCUACACUGCUUGCUGCUUCCUUGUUCUGUUUCUGUAUCAAUCCAGUGAGUGCUUCCACUAUUUCUGAAACCUCUGGUCUAAACUCCUCUGCCUGCUUGUUGGAAGAAUGAUUUAGCUA